AGAGUUUGAUCCUGGCUCAGGAUGAACGCUAGCUACAGGCUUAACACAUGCAAGUCGAGGGGCAGCAUGGUCUUAGCUUGCUAAGACUGAUGGCGACCGGCGCACGGGUGAGUAACACGUAUCCAACCUGCCGUCUACUCUUGGACAGCCUUCUGAAAGGAAGAUUAACACAAGAUGGCAUCAUGAGUCCGCAUGUUCACAUGAUUAAAGGUAUUCCGGUAGACGAUGGGGAUGCGUUCCAUUAGAUAGUAGGCGGGGUAACGGCCCACCUAGUCUUCGAUGGAUAGGGGUUCUGAGAGGAAGGUCCCCCACAUUGGAACUGAGACACGGUCCAAACUCCUACGGGAGGCAGCAGUGAGGAAUAUUGGUCAAUGGGCGAGAGCCUGAACCAGCCAAGUAGCGUGAAGGAUGACUGCCCUAUGGGUUGUAAACUUCUUUUAUAAAGGAAUAAAGUCGGGUAUGGAUACCCGUUUGCAUGUACUUUAUGAAUAAGGAUCGGCUAACUCCGUGCCAGCAGCCGCGGUAAUACGGAGGAUCCGAGCGUUAUCCGGAUUUAUUGGGUUUAAAGGGAGCGUAGAUGGAUGUUUAAGUCAGUUGUGAAAGUUUGCGGCUCAACCGUAAAAUUGCAGUUGAUACUGGAUAUCUUGAGUGCAGUUGAGGCAGGCGGAAUUCGUGGUGUAGCGGUGAAAUGCUUAGAUAUCACGAAGAACUCCGAUUGCGAAGGCAGCCUGCUAAGCUGCAACUGACAUUGAGGCUCGAAAGUGUGGGUAUCAAACAGGAUUAGAUACCCUGGUAGUCCACACGGUAAACGAUGAAUACUCGCUGUUUGCGAUAUACGGCAAGCGGCCAAGCGAAAGCGUUAAGUAUUCCACCUGGGGAGUACGCCGGCAACGGUGAAACUCAAAGGAAUUGACGG
rnacentral:rRNA from 1 species